GAACAUUUGGGAGAAUGACUCUGGGAGGAAGCAGGGAGGUGAAAAAGACAAACCCACGAGCAUGGCCAGGUACCGAGAAUGACCCCAAACUGCAGCCACCGUGGGAGAGGGGCGAGGAGGCAGGAUGCCGCAAGCAGUGCACAGAAUGAGUCGUUGACGUGUCUCAGCCCCAGGGGACAAAUUCCUUUUCGGAAAUACACGACUACAGCCAUUACGGAAGGAAGCCAGGACUGACUUACGAUGGCGUCUUUGACGAUCUGCUUGGCCACUUGCUCCGGCGUGCAGAUGGACGUGGUCUCUGAAAUAAGGCGGGUUUCCAAAGGCUGCGGCGGAGAAGGGACAUAUCAACACCAUUACACUGGGAAAAAAAAUCAAUAAAAUUCUCACAGCCCUCCCC